AUCUCUAAAAUUUUUUUAGAGAUUGAAGAUGGACUUCUAGAGAAGAUAAAGAGAUAAAAAAAGAUGAAGAAGAAAAUAAUUUUUUUAUAAUUUAUUUUCUCCCCUCAAACCCUUAGAACCAAAAAUCUGAAAUUCAGAUUUUUGUGCACACCCUAAGAGAGAGGACCCUCUUCUCUAUUUUUCACACCAUGAACUAUGACCAA
rnacentral:lncRNA from 1 species